AGACGUCUACAUUAGAUACCCGGGUAGUCCCAGCCGUAAACUAUGCGCGUUAGGUGUAUCGGUGACCACGAGUCACCGAGGUGCCGAAGGGAAACCGUGAAACGUGCCGCCUGGGAAGUACGGUCGCAAGGCUGAAACUUAAAGGAAUUGGCGGGGAGCACCACAACAGGUGGAGCCUGCGGUUUAAUUGGACUCAACGCCGGGAAGCUCACCGGAUAGGACAGCAGAAUGAUUGCCGGGCUGAAGACUCUGCAUGACUAGCUG
rnacentral:rRNA from 1 species